rnacentral:rRNA from 2 species
UGGGGAAUUUUGCGCAAUGGGGGAAACCCUGACGCAGCGACGCCGCGUGGAGGAUGAAGGCCCUUGGGUUGUAAACUCCUGUCAGGAAGGACGAACGGCAGGGUAGUUAAUACCUGCUCUGUUUGACGGUACUUCCAGAGGAAGCUCCGGCUAACUCCGUGCCAGCAGCCGCGGUAAGACGGAGGGAGCAAGCGUUGCUCGGAAUCACUGGGCGUAAAGGGCGUGUAGGCGGGAUGGUCAGUCGGAUGUGAAAGCCCCGGGCUCAACCCGGGAAGUGCAUUCGAUACUGCCGUUCUUGAGUGUGGUAGAGGAGAGCGGAAUUCCUGGUGUAGCGGUGAAAUGCGUAGAUAUCAGGAAGAACACCUGUGGCGAAGGCGGCUCUCUGGACCAAUACUGACGCUGAGGCGCGAAAGCUAGGGGAGCGAACGGG